rnacentral:rRNA from 1 species
CUGCUGCCUCCCGUAGGAGUUUGGGCCGUGUCUCAGUCCCAAUGUGGCCGUUCACCCUCUCAGGCCGGCUACUGAUCGUUGCCUUGGUAGGCUUUUACCCCACCAACUAGCUAAUCAGACGCGGAACCAUCGUAUACCACCUCAGUUUUUCACACUGCUUCAUGCGAAACUGUGCGCUUAUGCGGUAUUAGCACCUAUUUCUAAGUGUUAUCCCCCAGUAUACGGCAGGUUUUCCACGCGUUACUCACCCGUCCGUCACUAA